GGAACCAUCAUCAUCGGUAAAUGAGGCAGUCUCAGCUUCCUCAGCACAUUCUUCACUUGUCAAUGUAGACAGAGAUUCAACACCAUUACGGUCUAUUGACACUUCCCUCGUUAAAAUGUGACUUGAAGAUGAGGAGCUGACGCGACCUUUCUCAAAUGGCUGGAUUUUCAGGAAGAGAAGGGCCUGUGUAGUGUUCCUAUAAGCCCUUGUGCAAUUAAUAGGGGCACUUACAUUCAAACCCUCCUUGAUAACAGCAUAUUCAGCCAAAUUGAUAACAGCAGUUCCUAAGGGUUGACCUUUGACUGUCUUGUCACGUCGGGGUUCAUACAAGUUGAACUCCAUGCAAUUUUUUUGAAAACUG
rnacentral:misc_RNA from 1 species